AUUGAACGCUGGCGGCAUGCCUUACACAUGCAAGUCGAACGGUAGAGGGGGCAACCCCUCGAGAGUGGCGAACGGGUGAGUAAUGCAUCGGAACGUGCCCAGUAGUGGGGGAUAGCCCGGCGAAAGCCGGAUUAAUACCGCAUGAGACCUACGGGUGAAAGGGGGGGAUCGCAAGACCUCUCGCUAUUGGAGCGGCCGAUGUCAGAUUAGGUAGUUGGUGGGGUAAAGGCCUACCAAGCCGACGAUCUGUAGCUGGUCUGAGAGGACGACCAGCCACACUGGGACUGAGACACGGCCCAGACUCCUACGGGAGGCAGCAGUGGGGAAUUUUGGACAAUGGGCGAAAGCCUGAUCCAGCCAUGCCGCGUGCGGGAAGAGGGCCUUCGGGUUGUAAACCGCUUUUGUCAGGGAAGAAAUCCUUUGAGCUAAUACCUCGGGGGGAUGACGGUACCUGAAGAAUAAGCACCGGCUAACUACGUGCCAGCAGCCGCAGUAACAC
rnacentral:rRNA from 1 species